rnacentral:rRNA from 1 species
UACAGAGGGGGCAAGCGUUGUUCGGAAUUACUGGGCGUAAAGGGCGCGUAGGCGGCCCGCUAAGUCGAGCGUGAAAUCCCCGAGCUCAACUCGGGAACUGCGUCCGAUACUGGCGGGCUUGAAUCCGGGAGAGGGAUGCGGAAUUCCAGGUGUAGCGGUGAAAUGCGUAGAUAUCUGGAGGAACACCGGUGGCGAAGGCGGCAUCCUGGACCGGCAUUGACGCCGAGGCGCGAAAGCUAGGGGAGCAAACGGG